NNACUGCUGUGGAGUCCCAUAAUAGGACGAAACGACCGUCCAGUGC
rnacentral:hammerhead_ribozyme from 1 species